AUCGCUUCUCAGCCUUUUGGCUAAGACCAAGUGUGGUAUCUGUUCUUAUCCAUUUAAAAUAGGUAUGGUAGACAACCUGAGUGAUAGUUCUGUACACACUUCUCUCAAGUUUUUUGCUGAAUAUUGUCAUUCAGUAUCCCAUUAGCCAGUGGUUGAAAUUUUUACUUAAAAAAUUAAAUAAUA